rnacentral:rRNA from 1 species
GAUGAACGCUGGCGGCGUGCCUAAUACAUGCCAGUCGAGCGAACAGACGAGGAGCUUGCUCCUCUGACGUUAGCGGCGGACGGGUGAGUAACACGUGGAUAACCUACCUAUAAGACUGGGAUAACUUCGGGAAACCGGAGCUAAUACCGGAUAAUAUAUUGAACCGCAUGGUUCAAUAGUGAAAGACGGUUUUGCUGUCACUUAUAGAUGGAUCCGCGCCGCAUUAGCUAGUUGGUAAGGUAACGGCUUACCAAGGCAACGAUGCGUAGCCGACCUGAGAGGGUGAUCGGCCACACUGGAACUGAGACACGGUCCAGACUCCUACGGGAGGCAGCAGUAGGGAAUCUUCCGCAAUGGGCGAAAGCCUGACGGAGCAACGCCGCGUGAGUGAUGAAGGUCUUCGGAUCGUAAAACUCUGUUAUUAGGGAAGAACAAAUGUGUAAGUAACUAUGCACGUCUUGACGGUACCUAAUUAGAAAGCCACGGCUAACUACGUG